UGAGGAAUAUUGGUCAAUGGGGGCAACCCUGAACCAGCCAUGCCGCGUGCAGGAAGACGGCCCUAUGGGUUGUAAACUGCUUUUGUACGGGAAUAAUGGGUUCUACGUGUAGAGCUAUGAAGGUACCGUACGAAUAAGCAUCGGCUAACUCC
rnacentral:rRNA from 1 species